rnacentral:misc_RNA from 1 species
GGAAAAUAAAACUGCAUCUUUUGGUAAUAAAAGGAUGAAGCAGAAAAACAACUACAAAGUACGUUAUAAAAAUAAUUUAAUUAUUUUAAACAUUUUUUUUAUGUGAGGAGGAGGAGGAGGAGGAGGAUAUGCCCGUGGGCCCGCCUUACACAGUUACAUUUAGCUGAUGUUUCACCACGGAGGAUGGGAAUAUGAGCUCACCAUCAGGACCACUCCGAUCAUUGAUUCCCAUAUAUAGCACAUGCAUUCACCCUGUCUCUGCGUCGAGAUCUAGAGCUUCAACCUUAAGAUUUUCAGCUUGACAAUGGCGUCAACUGCUUCCUCUCCUAACCUUUCUAUCCGCAAAACCUUCAUCACCACACAGCAAACACCCACUUUCAAAACCGCCUUUCCCAUCUUCACUAUUAACCAAACGCCAAACACUCACCGCUCUCUCUGCAUCACUACUGCCUCUCUUUCCGACCCUAAGCCCAAGCCCACCACCACUGCCGCCGCUUCUGCCGCCACUGCUACCUUUACCACCGCUCCUAUAACAACAACAACAACAACAACGACAACCCCAACCCCCCAUGAGACCUUUAUUCCCACUAUUGCUCCUCAGUGGCCCAGAAAGGGCUCUGAUGUCCUCAUUGAAGCCUUGGAACGUGAGGGCGUAACUCACGUCUUUGGAUACCCAGGAGGGGCUUCCAUGGAGAUUCAUCAAGCUCUCACCCGCUCCAAUGUAAUCCGUAAUAUUCUACCAAGACAUGAGCAAGGUGGAAUCUUUGCUGCUGAGGGCUACGCCAAAGCUUCUGGGCGCGUUGGAGUUUGCAUUGCCACCUCCGGCCCUGGUGCCACUAACUUCGUCAGUGGACUUGCCGAUGCACUGCUCGAUAGUGUCCCGCUCGUUGCCAUUACUGGACAAGUUCCUCGUCGCAUGAUAGGCACUGAUGCAUUUCAAGAAACACCGAUCAUUGAAGUAACAAGAUCCAUAACUAAGCACAAUUUUAUGGUUCUUGAUGCUGAGGACAUUCCUCGCAUUGUCAAAGAAGCUUUUUAUCUUGCUUCUUCUGGCAGGCCUGGGCCAGUUCUUAUUGAUAUACCAAAGGAUGUCCAGCAACAGCUUAUUAUUCCAAACUGGGACAUGCCUAUGAGGCUUCCUGGGUAUACAUCAAGACUGCCUAAAAGCCCAGAAAUUGGAAAAUUGGAGCAGAUUGCUAGGCUGAUCUUUCAGUCCAAGAAACCGGUACUGUAUGUUGGUGGUGGAUCUUUGAACUGUAGUGAGGAGCUAAGGCGAUUUGUUGAGCUUACCAAGAUACCAGUGGCGAGUACUCUAAUGGGUCUCGGCAGUUUCCCCUUAGGCGACGAGCUGUCGCUACACAUGCUGGGAAUGCAUGGGACUAUGUAUGCAAAUUAUGCAAUAGAUCAAUCGGAUUUGCUGCUCGCGUUUGGAGUUAGAUUUGAUGAUCGCGUGACGGGUAAAGUCGAGGCUUUUGCUAGCAGAGCAAGCAUAGUUCACAUUGACAUUGAUUCAGCUGAAUUGGGGAAGAACAAGCAGCCUCACGUUUCACUCUGUUCUGAUUUGAAGAUUGCUUUGAAAGGGUUGAAUAGGUUGCUGGAGAAGAAGGGAGCCAAGUCUAUGCUUGAUUUCUCUGCUUGGAGAAAGGAAAUUAAUGAACAGAAAGCAAAAUAUCCGUUAAGCUAUAAAAAUUUUGGCGAAGCAAUUCCUCCGCAGUAUGCAAUUCAAGUUCUGGACGAAUUAACUAAUGGCAAUGCUGUUAUUAGCACUGGUGUUGGGCAGCACCAAAUGUGGUCUGCCCAAUUUUACAAGUACAAAAGGCCUCGUCAGUGGCUAACAUCUGGUGGUCUAGGUGCUAUGGGGUUUGGCUUGCCUGCUGCUAUGGGUGCUGCCCUUGCAAGACCAAAUGCUCUGGUGGUAGACGUCGAUGGGGAUGGAAGUUUCAUCAUGAAUGUCCAAGAAUUGGCGACGAUAAGAACAGAGAACCUGCCUGUGAAGAUCAUGCUAUUGAACAAUCAACAUUUGGGUAUGGUUGUUCAAUGGGAAGAUAGAUUCUAUCAUUCCAACAGGGCACAUACAUAUCUAGGGAACCCAUCAAAAGAAGAGAUUUUCCCGAACAUGUUGAAGUUUGCUGAGGCAUGCGAUAUUCCUGCUGCGAGAGUCACAAAGAAAAGUAAGCUUAAGGAGGCUAUCAAGAAAAUGUUGGAGACUCCAGGGCCUUAUUUGCUUGAUGUGAUUGUACCGCAUCAAGAACAUGUCCUGCCAAUGAUCCCAAGUGGUCUUUCUUUCAAGGAUGCUAUUACUGAAGGUGAUGGGAAAGCACAGAAUUGAUCAUUUUUGUGCUUGUAAAAGAAAUGUAUAGGUUAAAUAAUUUGCUUUGUUAUCAUUAAAUAAUACAUUGCUUUGUUACAAAAUAAGUGAUUGUUAAGAAAAAAAAAUCGAAUUGUGAUAAACUGAAACUGGUCAAAUAUUACUGUGAAAUUCUAAUCUGCGGCCUGGAAGUCAAGAACAAGAAACAUGUCAAAUCUAUGCGAAAUUGGAAAUGAAUGGAGACCACAAAAAUUCUUUUUUCUUGAAAGAUUGCAAGAAAAAUCAAGCCUGCCAAUGCUGGCCCCCUUCCCAUCUGCUUUGGUUUGCUGCAAAACGAUGUGCACCUCUAAGUUCCACUUUUGCCUGAUUUUUGUUGUGAGAUGGGCCACACGAUUCAAUCAUGGUCCCGUAUCAUUUAAUUAGAGUAAAUCGUAACAGUGAGAAAGAAAUCAUCUCUUCCCAUUUUGACAAAUCAAUAAUUCACGCAAACACGGGUCAGAGUUGAAGUUUUAUUUUAUUUUCACGACAAAUACAAUAAAAUUAUUUCAAAUAGAUAUGAGCAUCAUUGCUCAAAAUGUGAGAUUGUUUUGAUUUUGAAAAUUGUAGUGGAGUUGAGUGAUGAAGAAUAGUA